UCAAAGAUCAGAAAUAUUUCCAUACAUGCCAACAGUCCCUACAUGAUCAAGACAGUCCUGAUUUCCAAGCUAAUGUCCUGAGUCCCAAUGCAUAGGAAUUCUGAUAUUUAUCCUUGGAAAUUCUUCACAGCUCUAGGACAUUCGCUCUCGUGCCCGUAGUGUUUUUCUAAUUUGUUUUCUGUUUUUCACGGCUGCUGACCCUUGUGCACUGCACUGCCUUGCAGGGAUAGUGUUCACAUGAUCCAAUCUCAGUUUAUUGUCCUAUCCAGUCAUACUGGAGAAGCGGAUUGUAUCCUCGCUGCUGCUGCAAUAUGAUUUGAUGUGUGUCCAGUUGAACAGUUUCCAAAUGUUGGCAAACGCCAAACCUUUUUAUUUGGACAAGGGCAACAGUUCAAGAAAAGUUGUCUUCACUGAAGAAGAAAAGGAGGCAAUCUUCCACGAAUGCCAUGAUUCACCGCAUGGAGCACACCUGGGAAGGAACAAGACUAUCCAAAAAAUAUCCUCCAAACGGGCGCUCGAUUGAGACUUGCUGCCUGCUAGGCUUGGUUGAGGGGAAGGGCAGCAAGUGAUUGGCUGUGCUGGACCUCAAUCGGUAGGUGGGCGGGUCUUGAUUGAGUGUCCUUCAGUUCAAAAGCAUCCGUGGGAGAUGGUUCGAGGCGACUGCAACGCCAUGCCAGAGGGGAGCGGCGUAUACUCGGGAGGAGAGGGUCCGCGCUGCAGGAACGACAGCUACACAACCUUGAGACUGCAAGCGGUGCUUGUGAAGGCAAUGCCCAGCCAAGGUCGUAUGAAGCAGCACGAGUCGUUGUAUGAAUACCGGCUCAUGAGUAGGUUAGUUAGGGGAUUGUGAUCCCAUGUGAUGUAUAGCGAGGGUUACGUAGUGUAGCCGGUUCCUGGAGCAGGACGCCUCGUAAUAAG